AGCUCCAAUAGCGUAUAUUAAAGUUGUUGCAGUUAAAAAGCUCGUAGUUGGAUUUCUGGUUAAAGGUUAGAGCGCACCUGUGUGAGGCUCGAGUCUUUUGCCAUCCUUCUGUUAACCUUACAUGACAUUGAUUUGUCGGUUUGGGGCUCAGAUAUUUUACCUUGAGAAAAUUAGAGUGUUUCAGGCAGGCUUGUGCCCGGAUACAUUAGCAUGGAAUAAUGGAAUAGGACUUUAAUCUCUUCUGUUGGUCUGAGGGGUUGAAGUAAUGAUUAAUAGGGAUAGUUGGGGGCAUUAGUACUUAACUGUCAGAGGUGAAAUUCUCGGAUUUGUUAAAGACUAACUUAUGCGAAAGCAUUUGCCAAGGAUGUUUUCA
rnacentral:rRNA from 1 species